rnacentral:rRNA from 1 species
AUUGAACGCUGGCGGCAUGCCUUACACAUGCAAGUCGAACGGUAACAGGUCUUCGGAUGCUGACGAGUGGCGAACGGGUGAGUAAUACAUCGGAACGUGCCCGAACGUGGGGGAUAACGAAGCGAAAGCUUUGCUAAUACAGCAUACGAUCUAAGGCUGAAAGCAGGGGACCGCAAGGGCUUGCGCGACCGGAGCGGCCGGUGGCAGAUUAGGUCGUUGGUGGGAUAAAGGCUUACCAAGCCGACGAUCUGUAGCUGGUCUGAGAGGACGACCAGCCACACUGGGACUGAGACACGGCCCAGACUCCUACGGGAGGCAGCAGUGGGGAAUUUUGGACAAUGGGCGAAAGCCUGAUCCAGCCAUGCCGCGUGCAGGAUGAAGGCCUUCGGGUUGUAAACUGCUUUUGUACGGAACGAAAAGACUCUGGUUAAUACCUGGGGUCCAUGACGGUACCGUAAGAAUAAGCACCGGCUAACUACGUG